AUUGAACGCUGGCGGCAUGCCUUACACAUGCAAGUCGAACGGCAGCACGGGUGCUUGCCCCUGGUGGCGAGUGGCGAACGGGUGAGUAAUACAUCGGAACAUGUCCUGUAGUGGGGGAUAGCCCGGCGAAAGCCGGAUUAAUACCGCAUACGAUCUACGGAUGAAAGCGGGGGACCUUUGGGCCUCGCGCUAUAGGGUUGGCCGAUGGCUGAUUAGCUAGUUGGUGGGGUAAAGGCCUACCAAGGCGACGAUCAGUAGCUGGUCUGAGAGGACGACCAGCCACACUGGGACUGAGACACGGCCCAGACUCCUACGGGAGGCAGCAGUGGGGAAUUUUGGACAAUGGGCGAAAGCCUGAUCCAGCAAUGCCGCGUGUGUGAAGAAGGCCUUCGGGUUGUAAAGCACUUUUGUCCGGAAAGAAAUCCUUGGCCCUAAUACGGUCGGGGGAUGACGGUACCGGAAGAAUAAGCACCGGCUAACUACGUG
rnacentral:rRNA from 1 species